rnacentral:lncRNA from 1 species
UUCGACCCUUACUAACUAAUGUCACCAGAAUGACAGUGCGCAGGCUGGGGAGCGGCUCAGCUAGUGGAGUGCCUGCUCAGCAUGCAGAUAACAAGAGAAGCUGGGAAGGCAGCAGUCUAUGAAGUGCUUGCUGCGCAUGCGUGAAGUCCUGAGCGUGAUCCAGAGCACCCACAUGAAAGUGGGGGCGUGACAGCACACGUAUAAUCUCAGCUUCCGGGAGAAAAAUGAGCAGAUCACUAGCCAGCAAGCCUAGCCUAACUGAGGGGUCCUAGGUCCCAGAGACAAGAUGGCUCCCAAGCAAAGACAUUUAAAGAUGACCUCUGGUCCCCACAUGCAUGUGUGCACACUCUCACUCAUAAAAUGAAAACUUAAAAAAAAA